ACGAGUCUCUUCGGAGAUAGUGGCGGACGGGUGAGUAACGCGUGAGGAUCUGGCCUUAGGAGGGGGACAACAGCUGGAAACGGCUGCUAAUACCCCAUAUGCCGAGAGGUGAAAGAUUUAUCGCCUGAGGAUGAACUCGCGUCAGAUUAGCUAGUUGGUGGGGUAAGAGCUUACCAAGGCGACGAUCUGUAGCUAGUCUAAGAGGAUGAUCAGCCACACCGGGACUGAGACACGGCCCAGGCUCCUACGGGAGGCAGCAGUGGGGAAUUUUCCGCAAUGGCGCAAGCCUGACGGAGCAACGCCGCGUGUGGGAAGAAGGCUCUUGGGCUGUCAACCACUUUUCUCAGGGAAGAAGAUCUGACGGUACCUGAGGAAUCAGCCUCGGCUAACUCCGUGCCAGCAGCCGCGGUAAUACGGAGGAGGCAAGCGUUAUCCGGAAUUAUUGGGCGUAAAGCGUCCGCAGGGGGCACAUCAAGUCUGCUGUUAAAGGCUGGAGCUUAACUCCGGUAGAGCAGUGGAAACUGGUGUGCUUGAGGGCGACAGGGGUAGAGGGAAUUCCCAGUGUAGCGGUGAAAUGCGUAGAGAUUGGGAAGAACACCGGUGGCGAAAGCGCUCUACUGGGUCGCACUUGACCCUCAGGGACGAAAGCUAAGGUAGCGAAAGGGAUUAGAUACCCCUGUAGUCUUAGCCGUAAACGAUGGAUACUAGGCGUGGUUUGUAUCGACCCAAGCCGUGCCGAAGCUAACGCGUUAAGUAUCCCGCCUGGGGAGUACGCACGCAAGUGUGAAACUCAAAGGAAUUGACGGGGGCCCGCACAAGCGGUGGAGGAUGUGGUUUAAUUCGAUGCAACGCGAAGAACCUUACCAGGCUUGACAUCCCGCGAAUCCCAUGAAAGUGGGAGUGCCUUCGGGAGCGCGGAGACAGUGGUGCAUGGCUGUCGUCAGCUC
rnacentral:rRNA from 1 species